GAUGAACGCUGACAGCAUGCUUAACACAUCAGCAACUGAUUGGUGGCGGACGGGUGAGUAACGCGUAAAUAACUUGCCUCACAGCUAGGGACAACCUUUAGAAAUGAAUGCUAACACCUGCUCCUGUGAGAGAGCUUUGCGUCCCAUUAGCUAGUUGGUGAGGUAACAGCUCACCAAGGCGAUGAUGGGUAGCCGGCCUGAGAGGGUGAACGGCCGCAAGGGGAGUGAGGAGCGGCCCUUAAACCUACGUGGGGCAGCAGUGGGGGAUAUUGGACAGGGGACCGGAGUCUGAGACAGAAAUUCUGUGUGCGCGAGGAAGAUUUCGGAAUGUAAAGAGCUUUUAGUUGGGAAGCGGUACCAACAGAAGAAGUGACGGCUAAAUACGUGCCAGCAGCCGCGGUAAUAC
rnacentral:rRNA from 1 species